GACGAACGCUGGCGGCGUGCUUAACACAUGCAAGUCGAACGGGAUUUCGUAAACAGAAACCUCGGUGGAAGAUUACUAAUGAGAGUGGCGAACGGGUGAGUAACGCGUGAGCAACCUGCCUAUGACAGUGGGAUAGCCUCGGGAAACCGGGAUUAAUACCGCAUAAAAUCGUAGAAACACAUGUUUUAACGGUCAAAGAUUUAUCGGUCAUAGAUGGGCUCGCGUCGGAUUAGCUAGUUGGUGAGAUAACAGCCCACCAAGGCGACGAUCAGUAGCCGGGAUGAGAGGCUGAACGGCCACAUUGGAACUGAGCCACGGUCCAAACUCCUACGGGAGGCGGGAGUGGGGAAUAUUGCAAAAUGGGGGAAACGCUGAAGCAGCGACGCCGCGUGAACGAAGAAGGUAUUCGUAUCGUAAAGUUCUAUCCUAUGUGAAGAUAAUGACGGUACCAUAGAAGAAAGCCCCGGCUAAAUACGUG
rnacentral:rRNA from 1 species